rnacentral:rRNA from 1 species
GUGCCUUUUGCAUAAUGAGCCUACGAGUUACUCCUCACUGGCGAGGUUAAGUUCUUUUGUAACGGAGCCGUAGCGAAAGCGAGUCCAAAUAGGGCGUUUAGUCAGUGGGGGUAGACGCGAAACUUUGUGAUCUAUCCAUGGGCAGGUUGAAGUUGUGGUAACACACAAUGGAGGACCGAACGCAUAAACGUUGAAAAGUUUUGCGAUGACCUGUGGAUAGGGGUGAAAGGCC